CCCUGCCUCGCCGCGCCGCCUCUCCCUCAGCUCGCAGCCGCUCCUUCCCUUGUCACAUCUCGUCGCUUGUUUCCGUCGCCUCUUCUUUCGGCUGCAAGAGCAAAUCCACUCUCGGCGGCCUUGUUCUGGAGGCGCAGAUCGACCGCUGUGCCGCAGGGGGCAAGAUGCAUCACCCCGGCCGCCAUCUCCGGCUGGGGCGUUCUCCCCUGCGGCACGCACAUCUGUAGCACUACUCUGCAUCCAGCAGUCGACUUUUUGGUGUGGAUCUCUGGUUUUCCCGAGCCCCCAUCUUGCUGAAGUAACCGUGGAGCGUGAUGACAUGGAUUUUUGUCGCCCCAGUCUUAGGAUCCGGCUCGCCGGACCUGUGCUGAUUGACAUACGUUAUCUAAUCUGACUCUGCCAUAAAUCCCGUCAGCUGGCUGGAUCUCAUCGUCUCGAUCUUUCUUUAUAUGUUGGGCCUGUGAUUUUAACAAUUUGUCCGUACCAUCUGAUACAUCUGAUGAUUCACAUUUGCUAAUGCGUCUCUGAGGCCCU